rnacentral:lncRNA from 1 species
UUUUGAAUGGGAAGACCCAGCAGGAGGCACCAAACAACAGCUCACCUGGACUCCUCCCGCAGGAUUUAAGAAUUCCCUAACCAUCUUUGGGGAAGCCUUGGCUUCCGACCUGGACUCCUUCCAGCCAGAGAAGUUCAGAUGCUGGUUGCUACAAUACGUGGACGACUUGCUGUUGGCUGCCAAGAAUGGUGAAGACUGCUGGGAAGGAACCAAGGCUUUCCUACAGCUAUUGUUGGAGUCUGGCUCCCGAGUCUGAAAAAAGAAGACACAGAUCUGCAAAGAGGAGAGGCUUUCUGCAUGCUGCACCCUGUGAAAGAAGAACCUUGUACAACUUAUUUCCAGCUCCUCUGCGAAAUGUCUGACCC